CGCGUCUUGACGGGGUGCUGGUCUGCCUUUGAUGAAAACGGGCAGCCGGCUGAGAUUGCAUCGCAGAACCCGCGACCUGAUCCGGAUAAUACCGGCGUAGGGAUUUAAGACCACUGUGCUG
rnacentral:ncRNA from 2 species